UGUCUGGUCUGUAACUGACGCUGAGCUCGAAAGUAUGGGUAGCAAACAGGAUUAGAUACCUGGUAGUCCAUACCGUAAACGAUGAAUGCUAAGUGUUGGAGGGUUUCCCCUUUCAGUGCUGCAGCUAACGCAUUAAGCAUUCCGCCCGGGGAGUACGGCCGCAAGGCUGAAACUCAAAGGAAUUGACGGGGGCCCGCACAAGCGGUGGAGCAUGUGGUUUAAUUCGAAGCUACGCGAAGAACCUUACCAGGUCUUGACAUACUAUGCAAAUCUAAGAGAUUAGACGUUCCCUUCGGGGACAUGGAUACAGGUGGUGCAUGGUUGUCGUCAGCUCGUGUCGUGAGAUGUUGGGUUAAGUCCCGCAACGAGCGCAACCCUUAUUAUCAGUUGCCAGCAUUAAGUUGGGCACUCUGGUGAGACUGCCGGUGACAAACCGGAGGAAGGUGGGGAUGACGUCAAAUCAUCAUGCCCCUUAUGACCUGGGCUACAUACGUGCUACAAUGGAUGGUACAACGAGUUGCGAACUCGCGAGAGUAAGCUAAUCUCUUAAAGCCAUUCUCAGUUCGGAUUGUAGGCUGCAACUCGCCUACAUGAAGUCGGAAUCGCUAGUAAUCGCGGAUCAGCAUGCCGCGGUGAAUACGUUCCCGGGCCUUGUACACACCGCCCGUCACACCAUGAGAGUUUGUAACACCCAAAGUCGGUGGGGUAACCUUUAGGAACCAGCCGCCUAAGGUGGGACAGAUGAUUAGGGUGAAGUCGUAACAAGGUAACCA
rnacentral:rRNA from 1 species